AUACGGAGGGUGCAAGCGUUACUCGGAAUCACUGGGCGUAAAGCGCGCGCAGGCGGUCUUUUAAGUUGGAUGUGAAAGCCUACGGCUCAACCGUAGAACUGCAUCCAAAACUAUUAGACUAGAGUGUGCGAGAGGAAGAUGGAAUUAGUUGUGUAGGGGUAAAAUCCGUAGAGAUAACUAGGAAUACCAAAAGCGAAGGCAAUCUUCUGGAACACUACUGACGCUGAGGCGCGAAAGCGUGGGGAGCAAACGGGAUUAGAAACCCUAGUAGUCC
rnacentral:rRNA from 1 species